rnacentral:rRNA from 1 species
UGCCAGCAGCCGCGGUAAUACGAAGGUACCUAGCGUAGUUCGGAAUUACUGGGCUUAAAGAGCUCGUAGGUGGUUAAGAAAGUUGGUGGUGAAAUCCCAAGGCUCAACCUUGGAACUGCCACCAAAACUUUUUGACUAGAGUAUGAUAGAGGUAAGUGGAAUUUCUAGUGUAGAGGUGAAAUUCGUAGAUAUUAGAAAGAACACCAAUUGCGAAGGCAACUUUCUGGAUCAUUACUGACACUGAGGAGCGAAAGCAUGGGUAGCGAAGAGGAUUAGAUA